rnacentral:tmRNA from 1 species
AUCGGUUAGCGAGCAGGAUAAGCAUGUAGUCUUUCAGUUGCAGAGCUCUUCGGACGGGGGUUCGACUCCCCCCGCCUCCACCA